UACGGAGGGAGCUAGCGUUGUUCGGAAUUACUGGGCGUAAAGCGCACGUAGGCGGCUCUUUAAGUCAGGGGUGAAAUCCCGGGGCUCAACCCCGGAACUGCCCUUGAAACUGCAGAGCUAGAAUACUGGAGAGGUGAGUGGAAUUCCGAGUGUAGAGGUGAAAUUCGUAGAUAUUCGGAAGAACACCAGUGGCGAAGGCGACUCACUGGACAGUUAUUGACGCUGAGGUGCGAAAGCGUGGGGAGCAAACAGG
rnacentral:rRNA from 2 species